GGCAUAAGGACAUGCCGCGUGAGGUGAGGCCUGUGGGUUGUAAACUUCUUUUCUCAGAGAAGAAAAAUUGACGGUAUCUGAGGAAUAAGCAUCGGCUAACUCUGUGCCAGCAGCCGCGGUAAGACAGAGGAUGCAAGCGUUAUCCGGAAUGAUUGGGCGUAAAGCGUCUGUAGGUGGUUUGACAAGUCUCCUGUCAAAGAUCAGGGCUUAACCCUGGGCCGGCAGGAGAAACUAUCAGGCUAGAGUUGGUAGGGGCAGAGGGAAUUCCCGGUGGAGCGGUGAAAUGCGUAGAUAUCGGGAGGAACACCAAAGGCGAAAGCACUCUGCUGGGCCAGUACUGACACUGAGAGACGAAAGCGAGGGGAGCAAAAGGGAUUAGAUACCCCUGUAGUC
rnacentral:rRNA from 1 species